rnacentral:lncRNA from 1 species
AUGAAAGUUCAGCUGAAACUGAGAUCAUACUUGGGUUGCCUAGUUGCGGGGUCGAAAAGCCCGAAAUGCUUCUCGGUCUCGUCCCCCUCUUUGAGGUACUCAUCAAACAUCGCAAACAAGAAGGUUUCGAUAUUCCCUGGUUUCUUCGGUGUCCCAGUUUCUUUAACAUGAUUAAUCAAAUUCUUGUAGUAAGUCCCUGCAUUCUCUACAGUUGUGUCUUUACCGGCUUCCGAAGGCCAUCCACUCUCUGAUACUACUAUAUUGAUGUUCGAAUCACUCAAUUUCUCCACAGCCGAGUACAUAGUGUCCAACAUUGCAUCAAAGAGGUUCGUGUAUUGAAGACCGGUACCUUCAUCUGAUACAACCGUAUUUGUUGGCUCAAAUAAAGCGUAUUGAAGAUUUUCGUCAGGAUUUUUUUGGUAGCUGAAAUAUGGAUAAAUGUUUGCUAGCAAUGGCGAAUUGUUAUCAGCUAGAAACUGAAUGAUCGGUUGCAUGAACCCUUGUGCGCUGUCUUUGAAUGCACCCUGUGACGGAGGGAACGAAUUUCGAGCAAGGAGACCAGAAUAUGUGGCGGUCGAAACCUUGAUUUGAUCUUGUAACCCUCCGGCUACAAUUGCGUCAUGCAAAUUUCUCAUGGCGGGGAGAACAAAGUUAAGGUACCGGGAACUAUCGUUGUCAGGAUCAACUUCAUUUCCAACAGCAAUGUAACGAAAUUUGACAUCUUGGUAAUUUAAAAUAUUGUCUCGAACCCAAUUUGUUGCAGCAACAGAAUCUUGAAGGGAUUCAAGUUCCGUGUUUGGCACGUCAAGAAUGAGCUCUAUGUUGGACCCUCUAAGAGCGUCAAGAGUGGCAUGAAGGGGAUCGUAGAGCCUCAUUCUUCCAAUUCCGUUGUCUUUGUACAAUCUCACUGUGUCCUCUUCGCUUGGCCGAGGAUCUAAGUUUCUCCCAUUACACACGCCUAUGGGUUGUGCCCCUGCAAAUUAAACCAAACCAAAUCAAACCAAACGAUAAGUGAUCAAUAAAUUUUUUAUCAUUACACUAACAAGUCACACAAGUUUUGCUUAAAGAGAGAAAACAAAACCUGCAGUCUUAAAAGCAGGCACUAAGAUCCCCAGAAACAACACUGUAGCUUGCAUAACACUGAUCAGUAAGGCCAUCGGAAUGUUACACAACUCAAAUGUUCGGUGUGUUAGUUUGUACAAUCUCACCACACUUAUAUAGUACUCGAGACUCGUCAAGACUUUGAAAGACUCUCGGAAAAUUCCAGUUAAGCACAUGCAGUCUGCAAAAUUAAAAAAAACAACCACCACAUAUCACACUGUGGAAAAAACAAUCUUGUAAGUUUCGUUCUGUGGUCGUUUUCUCGAAACGUAGUCUUUGGUUCGCAAACCCCAAAUUCUGUAACGAGAAUUCUAACACAUUAACGUGUCCGAAGGCCAUUCUCUUCCCAGCUACCACGUCUAUCAUCUAACCCAGGAAAAUUAAUUAGGAAUUUGAAUAUUUUAAUAAAAAUUAAGAUACGCUACAAAUAUUCAGUAGUUUUCCAAAAUUAAGUUCUUAUUUCGUAUUCCCUCUGUCCUAAUAUGUUCUAUAUGUUAUUUUUCGAUACAUAUUUUGAGAUUUCUAUAAAAUAUAGUGUCAUAAUAUUUUUUAAUUUUUUUAACUUUUACUAUAUUUAAAAUUAAUAACUAUAAAAGCAUUAUGAAAUUUUAUUUUAUAAAUCUCAAAAUGAAUGUAAACAAAACAACAUGCUGGGCGGGACAAGUAUCUCACACUCGUGUCAAUUAGUAUAACGAAUUAGUCUUUCAGGUCGUUUUCUUAAGCAAUAGUCUUUUUGGUAUACUUUUCCAUAGUACCAAGUCCAGAUUCACAGGAGUCUCGUGACCUAUGUUGCACGGGGACGCCUACUAGGUGGAGUACCGCAGUUUGGGGACGUCCCGGGGACGGGGACGGCACGGGGACGGCUGGGGACGGCUUGGGGACGUCCCCAAAAAGUUGGGGACAGCAGGUUAAAAUUGGGGACGUUUCCUGGAGUAAAAUGAUAAAUAUACCCGUCCCCAAUUAAACAUAACAUAGAAAACCCCAACUCAGUGGCUUCUAUUCAAGUUAUAUACAUUAUUCACACGUUCUUCAUAUAUACAUACAAUCAUAACUCUUCUCAAACUACUUUCUCACUCAACCAAAUAAACAUAACUCAUUAGUUUUCAAUGGAAACACAACAUGGAAUUAGUGGUACUGGAUAUGGACAUGCUGGAAGUGGAAGUGGAUCUGACAAUCAACCUCCUUUGUGAGCCUGAAAUGGAGAAUGAGUUGAUCUCCGGUGAUAUUAAUAUUUGAGAAUGUUGCAUCUGUCCUAUUUAUAUUAAAUUUUUAAUUUUUUAUUAAUAUAUUAUGUGCCGUCCCCGUACCCUUUAAUUUUAAAAUUGACGUUUCAUGUCCCCGUCCCCGUACCCGUAUAUGUUCCCGUACCCGUCUCCGUGCAACCUAGCUCGUGACGUCCAAAUUACUGUGUCAUCAAAUAUAACCCGACUGAUACUAUGCAGGGAUGAGCAAAAUCGAACAGGAAUCGAAAAAUCGAAUCAUAUCGUGUAAAUUCGGUUCGGUUUGGUUUUAAUUUUCUGAAAAUCCAGUCCAUUCGGUCCGGACCAAAUCGACCGACAUAAAGUUUGGUUCGGUCCGGUCCGUAAAAAAAUAUUUCGGUCCGGAACGAAUAGUCCAAAAUAUAUAUAAUUUAAUUUAUAUUUAUAUUAUAUAUAUAUAUAUAUAUAUUAUAUGUUAUAUUUAUAAUAUUUAACUUGUAAAUUUAAUUAUAUCUACCUUUAAUGAAUUGGGGGUGAUUAAUUAAUAUGAAAAUUUUAAAAUAAAUCAUGAUUUUUAGUUUUAUUUAUAAUAUAAAUUUUUAUUUUUCAAAUAAUUUCAGUUCUUUUGGUCCGGACCGAAUGAACCGAAUUAUUUCGGUUCGGUCCGGUUCAGUCCAUUAUAAAACUUCGGUCCGGUUCAGUCCGAAAAAUAUUCAAACUUCGGUUCUCAGUCUAUUCGGUUCGGUCCGGUUUUGGACCGAACCGACCGAAUGCUCACCCCUAACUACAUGCAUGUUCUUUGUUAGUUUGUCAAUUUAUAUUUUAUUUAUUUUGUGUUCAUCAGAAAUUUCGAUUUCUUUCUAAAAUUUAAUUUUUUUUAUAAAAAUUUUAACAUAAAACUUUAUUCUGGAGAAUUUUUUUCAAAAUAAUAUAUUAAACAAUAAUUGUGAAGAGUCUAUAUGUCGGUCCCCUUCCGGUAUAAAAGAAAAUUGAGAGGGACAGAAACAACAAUUAAGAUGAAGAAUGUUUCAGUAUAUUUUAAAACUUACCAGACGCAUAAGUUUUUUAUUUGUACACUUGAAGUAUAAUCCUAUAUCUAUUAAAAGCUCUGAACCAAAAUAUUGAGCAGUAAGUUUACUCAAAACAUAUAGCUUGCUAAAUAGAACAAUUGGAAAAAGAAAAACCCUUACGAAUAAUUUAUUAUUUUUAUUCUCGCCAGAGCGUACAUAUGAGAUAUGACUAAUACAACAGUUUACGGUGAAGCGCAAACUAAUUAUUAAUCCCACACUCAGGAACUCUUUCUUCAAAUUGACUUUAUUCGGCGAUUAAUCUGUAAAAAUAUAGGACUUAAUAAAAGUUUAGCUGAAAUUCAGCUGAUAUUUAGGCUGCCUUGUAUCGGGGUUGAAAAGCCCGAAAUGCUUCUCGCUCUCUGCCCCAUUUUUGUUGUUCUCAUCAAACAUCGCAAACAAGAAGGUUUCGAUAUUCCCUGGUUUCUUCGGUGUCCCUCCUUUAACAUGAUCAAUCAAAUUCUUGUAGUAAGUCUGUGCAUUCUCUACACUUGCGCCUCUAUCGCCUUCCGAAGGCCAUCCACUC